GGGNGAGUAACACGUGGGUGAUCUGCCCUGCACUUUGGGAUAAGCCUGGGAAACUGGGUCUAAUACCGAAUAGGACCGCGCUCUUCAUGGGGUGUGGUGGAAAGCUUUUGCGGUGUGGGAUGGGCCCGCGGCCUAUCAGCUUGUUGGUGGGGUAAUGGCCUACCAAGGCGACGACGGGUAGCCGGCCUGAGAGGGUGACCGGCCACACUGGGACUGAGAUACGGCCCAGACUCCUACGGGAGGCAGCAGUGGGGAAUAUUGCACAAUGGGCGCAAGCCUGAUGCAGCGACGCCGCGUGAGGGAUGACGGCCUUUCGGGUUGUAAACCUCUUUCAAUAGGGACGAAGCGCAAGUGACGGUACCUAUAGAAGAAGGACCGGCCAACUACGUGCCAGCAGCCGCGGUAAUACGUAGGGUCCGAGCGUUGUCCGGAAUUACUGGGCGUAAAGAGCUCGUAGGUGGUUUGUCGCGUUGUUCGUGAAAACUCACAGCUUAACUGUGGGCGUGCGGGCGAUACGGGCAGACUAGAGUACUGCAGGGGAGACUGGAAUUCCUGGUGUAGCGGUGGAAUGCGCAGAUAUCAGGAGGAACACCGGUGGCGAAGGCGGGUCUCUGGGCAGUAACUGACGCUGAGGAGCGAAAGCGUGGGGAGCGAACAGGAUUAGAUACCCUGGUAGUCCACGCCGUAAACGGUGGGUACUAGGUGUGGGUUUCCUUCCUUGGGAUCCGUGCCGUAGCUAACGCAUUAAGUACCCCGCCUGGGGAGUACGGCCGCAAGGCUAAAACUCAAAGGAAUUGACGGGGGCCCGCACAAGCGGCGGAGCAUGUGGAUUAAUUCGAUGCAACGCGAAGAACCUUACCUGGGUUUGACAUGCACAGGACGCCAGUAGAGAUAUUGGUUCCCUUGUGGCCUGUGUGCAGGUGGUGCAUGGCUGUCGUCAGCUCGUGUCGUGAGAUGUUGGGUUAAGUCCCGCAACGAGCGCAACCCUUGUCUCAUGUUGCCAGCACGUUAUGGUGGGGACUCGUGAGAGACUGCCGGGGUCAACUCGGAGGAAGGUGGGGAUGACGUCAAGUCAUCAUGCCCCUUAUGUCCAGGGCUUCACACAUGCUACAAUGGCCGGUACAAAGGGCUGCGAUGCCGUGAGGUGGAGCGAAUCCUUUCAAAGCCGGUCUCAGUUCGGAUCGGGGUCUGCAACUCGACCCCGUGAAGUCGGAGUCGCUAGUAAUCGCAGAUCAGCAACGCUGCGGUGAAUACGUUCCCGGGCCUUGUACACACCGCCCGUCACGUCAUGAAAGUCGGUAACACCCGAAGCCGG
rnacentral:rRNA from 1 species